rnacentral:rRNA from 1 species
GCCUAGCCCUAAACCUUGGUAAUAUAUCACACACCCUGCCCGCCUGGGAACUACGAGCACCAGCUUAAAACCCAAAGGACUUGGCGGUGCUUUAGACCCCCCUAGAGGAGCCUGUUCUAGAACCGAUAACCCCCGUUCAACCUCACCCUUCCUUGUUUAUCCCGCCUAUAUACCGCCGUCGUCAGCUUACCCUGUGAAGGUUUAAAAGUAAGCACAACUGGCACAACCCAAAACGUCAGGUCGAGGUGUAGCGCAUGGAGGGGGAAGAAAUGGGCUACAUUCCCUAUAUUAGGGAACACGAACGGCGCACUGAAACACGCGCCUGAAGGAGGAUUUAGUAGUAAGUGGGAAAUAGCGUGUUCCGCUGAAAUCGGCCCUGAAGCGCGC